rnacentral:rRNA from 1 species
AUUGAACGCUGGCGGCAGGCCCAACACAUGCAAGUCGAGCGGAUGAAGGGAGCUUGCUCCUGGAUUCAGCGGCGGACGGGUGAGUAAUGCCUAGGAAUCUGCCUGGUAGUGGGGGAUAACGUCCGGAAACGGGCGCUAAUACCGCAUACGUCCUGAGGGAGAAAGUGGGGGAUCUUCGGACCUCACGCUAUCAGAUGAGCCUAGGUCGGAUUAGCUAGUUGGUGGGGUAAAGGCCUACCAAGGCGACGAUCCGUAACUGGUCUGAGAGGAUGAUCAGUCACACUGGAACUGAGACACGGUCCAGACUCCUACGGGAGGCAGCAGUGGGGAAUAUUGGACAAUGGGCGAAAGCCUGAUCCAGCCACGCCGCGUGUGUGAAGAAGGUCUUCGGAUUGUAAAGCACUUUAAGUUGGGAGGAAGGGCAGUAAGUUAAUACCUUGCUGUUUUGACGUUACCAACAGAAUAAGCACCGGCUAACUUCGUG